GAUGAACGCUGGCGGCGUGCCUAACACAUGCAAGUCGAGCGAAUGGAUUAAGAGCUUGCUCUUAUGAAGUUAGCGGCGGACGGGUGAGUAACACGUGGGUAACCUGCCCAUAAGACUGGGAUAACUACGGGAAACCGGGGCUAAUACCGGAUAACAUUUUGAACCGCAUGGUUCGAAGUUGAAAGGCGGCUUCGGCUGUCACUUAUGGAUGGAACUGCGUCGCAUUAGCUAGUUGGUGAGGUAACGGCUCACCAAGGCAACGAGGCGUAGCCGACCUGAGAGGGUGAUCGGCCACACUGGGACUGAGACACGGCCCAGACUGCUACGGGAGGCAGCAGUAGGGAAUCUUCCGCAAUGGACGAAAGUCUGACGGAGCAACGCCGCGUGAGUGAUGAAGGCUUUCGGGUCGUAAAACUCUGUUGUUAGGGAAGAACAAGUGCUAGUUGAAUAAGCUGGCACCUUGACGGUACCUAACCAGAAAGCCACGGCUAACUACGUGCCAGCCGCCGCAGUAA
rnacentral:rRNA from 1 species